rnacentral:rRNA from 1 species
GAUGAACGCUGGCGGCGUGCCUAAUACAUGCAAGUCGAGCGAACAGACGAGGAGCUUGCUCCUCUGACGUUAGCGGCGGACGGGUGAGUAACACGUGGAUAACCUACCUAUGAGACUGGGAUAACUUCGGGAAACCGGAGCUAAUACCGGAUAAUAUAUUGAACCGCAUGGUUCAAUAGUGAAAGACGGUUUUGCUGUCACUUAUAGAUGGAUCCGCGCCGCAUUAGCUAGUUGGUAAAGUAACGGCUUACCAAGGCAACGAUGCGUAGCCGACCUGAGAGGGUGAUCGGCCACACUGGAACUGAGACACGGUCCAGACUCCUACGGGAGGCAGCAGUAGGGAAUCUUCCGCAAUGGGCGAAAGCCUGACGGAGCAACGCCGCGUGAGUGAUGAAGGUCUUCGGAUCGUAAAACUCUGUUAUUAGGGAAGAACAAAUGUGUAAGUAACUAUGCACGUCUUGACGGUACCUAAUCAGAAAGCCACGGCUAACUACGUG